CCUACGGGUGGCAGCAGUGGGGAAUAUUGCACAAUGGGCGAAACCCUGAUGCAGCGACGCCGCGUGAGUGAUGAAGUAUUUCGGAAUGUAAAGCUCUAUCAGCAGGGAAGAACAUGACCGUUCCUGAUUAAGAAGCCCCGGCAUACUACGUGCCAGCAGCCGCGGUCAUACUUAGGGGGCGAGCGUUCUCUGGAUUUACUGGGGGUAAAGGGAGCGGAGACGGCAGCGCAAGUCUGAAGUGAAAUGCCGGGGCUUAACCCCGGAACUGCUUUGGAAACUGGGCAGCUAGAGUGCAGGAGAGGUAAGUGGAAUUCCUAGUGUAGCGGUGAAAUGCGUAGAUAUUAGGAGGAACACCAGUGGCGAAGGCGGCUUACUGGACUGUAACUGACGCUGAGGGUCGAAAGCGUGGGGAGCAAACAGGAUUAGAUACCCGGGUAGUC
rnacentral:rRNA from 1 species